rnacentral:lncRNA from 1 species
CGGGGCCAGGCCCGGUCUGAGUUUGCGCUGGUUUGAGGCCUUUUAAACUGGUUUGGGCCCAAAGAAACUGGUGUGGGACAAAUUAAACUGGUGUGGGACAAAUUAAACUGGUGUGGGACAAAUUAAACUGGUGUGGGAUAAAUUAAACUGGUGUGGGGCGAAUUAAACUGGUGUGGGACAAAUUAAACUGGUGUGGGAUAAAUUAAACUGGUGUGGGAUAAAUUAAACUGGUGUGGGACAAAUUAAACUGGUGUGGGAUAAAUUAAACUGGUGUGGGGUGAAUUAAACUGGUGUGGGACAAAUUAAACUGGUGUGGGGUGAAUUAAACUGAAGUGGGCCCAAUUAAACUGGUGUGGGAUAAAUUAAACUGGUUUGGGCCCAGUUUGAUUUUUCCCAAUUUUCCCCAUUUAAUUCCCAUUUUUCCCCCUUUUUUCCCAAUUUCCCCCUGAUUUUUCCCAUUUUUCCCCCAUUUUUCCCCCAUUUUCCCCCCACUUUUACCCUACUUUCGUCCCGAUUUAUUCCCAUUCCCCCCAGUUUUUCCCAUUUCUUUCCCAUUUCCCCCAAAUUUUCCCCUAUUUUUCCCGUUUUCCCCAAAUUCUCUCCCUUUUUUGCAAGUUUUCCCCUAUUUUUUCCCAUUUUCCUUCCAUUUCCCCCCAAUUCUCCCCUUUUCCCAUUUUUUCCCAAUUUUCCCCCAUUUUUCUGAUUUUCCCUUUUUUCCUCCAUUUCCCCAUUUAUUCCAAAUUCCCCAUUUUUCCCAUUUUCCCCAUUUUUCCCCAUUUCCCCUCCAUUUUUCAUCCAUUUCCCCAAUAUUUCAUCAUUUUUCCCCAUUUCCCUUGAUUUCUCCAUUUUCCCAAUUUUCUCCCAUUUUUUCCCUUUUUUUUCCUUUUGUUUUCCAUUUUUUUUCCUUUUUUUUCCAUUUUUUCCUUUUCCCAUUUUUUUCCCAUUUUUCCCCAAUUUUUUUCCCUUUUCCCCCCAUUUUUUCCAAUUUCCCCCCUUUUUCCCCAGUUUUUUCCCAAUCUUUUUCAAUUUUUCCCCCUUUUCCCCAUUUUUCUGAUUUUCCCAAUUUUUCUCCCUUUUUCCCUUGUUUUGCUUUUUUCCCCCAAUUUUUCCCCCUUUUCUUUUUCCCAUUUUUCCCCUUUUUUCCUAUUUUUUACAAAUUAUUUCCCCUUUACCAUUUUUUCCAGUUUUUUCCCCAUUUUUCCCAAUUAUUUUCCCAUUUUUUUCCAAAUUUUUUCCCAUUUCUUCCCCCUUCUUUUUCCCAAGUUUUCCCCUUUUUUCCCCAUUAUUUUCCACUUUUUUCCCAUUUUUUUCCUAUUUUCCCAUUUUUCCCAAUUUUUCCCAAUUUUUUCCCAUUUUUCCCAAUUUUUCCCUUUUUUUCCCAAUUUUUCCCUUUUUUACCCAUUUUUUCCUUUUCCCCCCAUUAUUUCCCCAAUUUUUUCCCAUUUUUCCCCUUUUUUCCCAAUUUUUUCCCAUUUUCCCCAGUUUUUUCUCCUUUUUACUCAAUUUUUCCCCAUUUUUUCCCUUUUUCACCAUUUUUCCUUUUUUUUUCCCUUUUUUUUCCCCUUUUUACUCAAAAUUUUCCAAAUUUUUUCCUUAUUUCCCCCAUUUUUUCCCCAUUUUUUCCUUUUCCCCAUUUUUUUCCUUUUCCCCCAUUUUUUCCCCUUUUUACUCAAUUUUUUUCCCAUUUUUUUCCCUUUUUUCCCCAUUUUCGCCCUUUUUUCCCAAUUUUCCCCAUUUUUCCCUUUUUUUCCCAAUUUUUCCCCUUUUUACUCAAUUUUUUUCCCAUUUUUUUCCCUUUUUUCCCCCUUUUUUCCCUUUUCCCCAUUUUCCCCCCAAUUUUUUCUCCUUUUUACUCAAUUCUUUCCCUUUUUUUCCUAUUUUCUCCCCAUUUUUCCCUUUUUUCCCCAUUUUCUCCCUUUUUUCCCCAUUUUCCCCAUUUUUCCCUUUUUUUCCCAAUUUUUUUCCCUUUUUCCCCAUUUGUCCCUUUUUUUGUUCCCAAUUUUUCCCCUUUUUACUCAAUUCUUUCCCUUUUUCCCCACUUUUCCCCAUUUUUUUCCCUUUUUUCCAAUUUUUCCCUUUUUUCCCAAUGUUUUCCCCUUUUUUCCCCAUUUUUUCCCCAUUAUUUUCCCCUUUUUCCCCAUUUUCUCCUUUUUUCCCCAUUUUCUCCCUUUUUUUCCCAAUUUUUUCCUUUUUUUCCCCAUUUUUUUCCCUUUUUUCCCUUUUUCCCCAAUUUUUUCCCCUUUUUACUCAAUUUUUUCCCAAUUUUUUUCCCCUUUUCUCCCAUUUUUCCCCAUUUUCCCCCGUUUUUCCCAUUUUCCCCCUUUUUCCCCCCAAUUCCCCGUCCCGGGGCCG